rnacentral:misc_RNA from 1 species
UUUUUUUUUUUUUUUUAAAUCAAUGGUAUGUUAAUUCAAGAUUGCUCAAUUUGCUAAAUUGCUCGUUAUUAUGACACUUUACAUUUGAUUACUAUCAAACAGAUGGCCAUUUUUAGUUGGCUAUUAUCUAGUAGAGCCAAGCACGGUCAGAGUCGAAGCAAGGACACGUGGAAACCCAGGGUUGGAAGUGUCCAAUUUUAUUACAUAGACUACGACGUGAAUCAAGUUGGUUAGGAUGCUGGGCUCUUAUCCGAGAGACCUCGGUUCGAUUCCAGGCAAUGGAAUUUAAUUAUAUUUUUUUUCAAGUUUUAAACUUUCUGUUGUAUCACCAACAAUCAAACCAAGGUUUGGUUAAAUACCCAUUUUAUUUUUCUAUUCAGUUAAAUAAUAAAAAAUUUUUAUUUUUU